ACGAUGAACCUCACUUGUGGGGGGAUUAGUGGCGAACGGGUGAGUAACACGUGAGUAACCUGCCCUUAACUCUGGGAUAAGCCUGGGAAACUGGGUCUAAUACCGGAUAUGACUCCUCAUCGCAUGGUGGGGGGUGGAAAGCUUUUUGUGGUUUUGGAUGGACUCGCGGCCUAUCAGCUUGUUGGUGAGGUAAUGGCUCACCAAGGCGACGACGGGUAGCCGGCCUGAGAGGGUGACCGGCCACACUGGGACUGAGACACGGCCCAGACUCCUACGGGAGGCAGCAGUGGGGAAUAUUGCACAAUGGGCGAAAGCCUGAUGCAGCGACGCCGCGUGAGGGAUGACGGCCUUCGGGUUGUAAACCUCUUUCAGUAGGGAAGAAGCGAAAGUGACGGUACCUGCAGAAGAAGCGCCGGCUAACUACGUGCCAGCAGCCGCGGUAAUACGUAGGGCGCAAGCGUUAUCCGGAAUUAUUGGGCGUAAAGAGCUCGUAGGCGGUUUGUCGCGUCUGCUGUGAAAGACCGGGGCUCAACUCCGGUUCUGCAGUGGGUACGGGCAGACUAGAGUGAUGUAGGGGAGACUGGAAUUCCUGGUGUAGCGGUGAAAUGCGCAGAUAUCAGGAGGAACACCGAUGGCGAAGGCAGGUCUCUGGGCAUUAACUGACGCUGAGGAGCGAAAGCAUGGGGAGCGAACAGGAUUAGAUACCCUGGUAGUCCAUGCCGUAAACGUUGGGCACUAGGUGUGGGGGACAUUCCACGUUUUCCGCGCC
rnacentral:rRNA from 1 species